rnacentral:lncRNA from 1 species
GCCUGCAUAAUUUUCUCAGCAGCCCAUUCCCCUCAACGUUUGAUCUUGGCCAGUUCCCUUAAACCAAAAUUUUCUUUUUAUCCGCCCAGACCAUUUCUUCUUGACCCAGUCUGCUUAAACCCGACCUGUUCACCUUUUCAUCCUCUUCAACGAGAACAAUACCCAGAAGCUUGCAACAUCCAUCCCAGCGCGUAGGUAACAACACGACAAUCCCAGCAGCAAUCCAAUCAUUUCUGUCGCGUCGGGUACUACUCAUUCCUGCAUGUUUCCCCUUAUGCGCGUGACACAUUCCCUUCCCCCCUUUGUUUAGUUGUUUCCAGCCUCUAGACUGUGUACUCGUACGAACGCUAGCAACACCAGACGCGGAAUCGUCCUUGCGAGCUUGGAGAUGGCGCCAGCGGGGAUCCAAGGACGAUGGAGUCGAUCCCAAUCGUCCAUUCCUAGUUUCUAUCCAUUAAGAUAGAAAAUCGUUUGGGGAAUAUUUGGAUUUUGGGAUUAACUUGAAGUUGAAUUUCAAAGCUAUGGGAUUUUCUCGUUUGUUGCUUCCGUUUCAAUUUUCUUAUGGGAAAGGUUGUUUCCCCUGCUCGUUCCAUCCACAGUUCGUUACCAUCAACAAGAUUGACCGAGUUCAUUAUGAACUCAAAUUUUCCCUUGCAUUAUUGAUGAGUCGUAGAGGCUUAACUUCCUUUUGUUCGAGUCAAUCAUUCCCUACAAGGUGAACAUGUUUCAAAAAUGAAGAACUGGAAGCGAGUUGAAGAGUUGAAGAAGUUGGGAUUAAAAGACCUCAACUUUUUUUUCCGUAUAUAUUUUUGUAUUUCAUUUGUAAUGGGCCUACGCCCUUGUUGUCUUUAUUUUUCACCAUUUAUUAGUUAUUAUAUUUAGUCUAGGACAGGUAUAAAGAUAAAUGGGUCAAAGGCCUACAAGCAAGUGGGUCCAAAUUAUGGUCAAGGCGAACAGAAAUGUACCAAGUUUGAUUGAAAUUAUGUAAUGAACGCCAUGAUUUUUAGUGAAGUUUAUUUUUUGGGAUACAACUUUUUGUUUUAAUGACGCAAUAUAUCCUUCAGAGCACUAGGCCUACCCUUGGCAAAAAGGAUUACAUGUAUGAUUAGGACACGAUAUAUGUGCGUUUAACUGCUUAUGUGCUAUGUUACUACGAAUGAGGAUAUCGUAAACCCACUCCUAUCCAG